rnacentral:rRNA from 1 species
GACAGAGGGUGCAAACGUUGCUCGGAAUUACUGGGCGUAAAGCGCGUGUAGGCGGUCCACCAAGUCGGACGUGAAAGCCCUGAGCUCAACUCAGGAACUGCAUCCGAAACUGGCGGUCUGGAGUAGUGGAGAGGAAAGCAGAAUUCCUGGUGUAGAGGUGAAAUUCGUAGAUAUCAGGAGGAACACCGGUGGCGAAGGCGGCUUUCUGGACACUUACUGACGCUGAGACGCGAAAGCGUGGGGAGCAAACAGG